rnacentral:rRNA from 1 species
UACGUAGGGCGCAAGCGUUGUCCGGAAUUAUUGGGCGUAAAGAGCUCGUAGGCGGCUUGUCACGUCGGGUGUGAAAGCCCGGGGCUUAACCCCGGGUCUGCAUUCGAUACGGGCUAGCUAGAGUGUGGUAGGGGAGAUCGGAAUUCCUGGUGUAGCGGUGAAAUGCGCAGAUAUCAGGAGGAACACCGGUGGCGAAGGCGGAUCUCUGGGCCAUUACUGACGCUGAGGCACGAAGGCCAGGGGAGCAAACGGG